rnacentral:rRNA from 1 species
AACGAACGCUGGCGGCAUGCCUAACACAUGCAAGUCGAACGAGACCUUCGGGUCUAGUGGCGCACGGGUGCGUAACGCGUGGGAACCUGCCCUUAGGUUCGGAAUAACUCCCCGAAAGGGGUGCUAAUACCGGAUAAUGUCUUCGGACCAAAGAUUUAUCGCCUUUGGAUGGGCCCGCGUUGGAUUAGCUAGUUAGUAGGGUAAAAGCCUACCAAGGCGACGACCCAUAGCUGGUCUGAGAGGAUGAUCAGCCACACUGGGACUGAGACACGGCCCAGACUCCUACGGGAGGCAGCAGUGGGGAAUAUUGGACAAUGGGCGAAAGCCUGAUCCAGCAAUGCCGCGUGAGUGAUGAAGGCCUUAGGGUUGUAAAGCUCUUUUACCCGGGAUGAUAAUGACAGUACCGGGAGAAUAAGCUCCGGCUAACUCCGUG